AGUGCGUGUGCGCGCAUCCGGCGCGCCCCAGCCGCGCCUCGGGGCCUCGCCUCUCGGUGCGCCCUGCCCCGAGAUUGGAGGGGCAGCAGCGGUGCUGCCUCAAGCUGAGAAGGGAGGGUGCCAGGCGAGGAGGUGAUGCAGCAGGUAGAAGGCGGCGGUCCCUGGGCGUGUUCCUAUGGCGACGCCGGGCGGUGAGAGCCAGAGUCUCUCCGGCACGAAUUUGCCCCGGCGGACAGACUGCAUAAAAACCCGUGAAGGCCUGAUUCAGUUUUGCACAAGGCAGCGUAGUUCCAGUCCAAGAGAUGAAAUACACAGCUGGGAAAUAAAACUCACCCCUCUGGGCAGAUGCUUGCCCAGACUCACUGUUGUGAA